AGAGUUUGAUCCUGGCUCAGAAUCAACGCUGGCGGCGUGCCUAACACAUGCAAGUCGAACGAGAAAGUGGAGCAAUCCAUGAGUACAGUGGCGUACGGGUGAGUAACACGUGACUAACCUACCCUCGAGUGGGGAAUAACCUCGGGAAACCGGGGCUAAUACCGCAUGAGGUCUUCGGAUCAAAGGAGUAAUCCGCUUGA
rnacentral:rRNA from 1 species